UACGUAGGGUGCGAGCGUUAAUCGGAAUUACUGGGCGUAAAGCGUGCGCAGGCGGUUAUAUAAGUCAGACGUGAAAUCCCCGGGCUCAACCUGGGAACUGCGUUUGAGACUGUAUGACUAGAGGAUGGCAGAGGGGGGUAGAAUUCCACGUGUAGCAGUGAAAUGCGUAGAGAUGUGGAGGAAUACCGAUGGCGAAGGCAGCCCCCUGGGCUAUUACUGACGCUCAUGCACGAAAGCGUGGGGAGCAAACAGGAUUAGAUACCCUGGUAGUCCACGCCCUAAACGAUGUCAACUGGAUGUUGGGUGGGUUAAACCACUUAGUGUCGUAGCUAACGCGUGAAGUUGACCGCCUGGGGAGUACGGCCGCAAGGCUAAA
rnacentral:rRNA from 1 species